CGAAGGGUGCAAGCGUUACUCGGAAUUACUGGGCGUAAAGCGUGCGUAGGUGGUUUCUUAAGUCUGCUGUGAAAGCCCCGGGCUCAACCUGGGAAUUGCAGUGGAUACUGGGGAGCUAGAGUGCGGUAGAGGGUAGUGGAAUUCCCGGUGUAGCGGUGAAAUGCGUAGAGAUCGGGAGAACACCAGUGGCGAAGCGGCUACCUGGACCAGCACUGACACUGAGGCACGAAAGCGUGGGGAGCAAACAGGAUU
rnacentral:rRNA from 1 species